rnacentral:ncRNA from 1 species
GCUUAUCAAGAGUGGCUGAGGGACUGGCCCUGUGAUGCCACAGCAACCUGCGUUUUGUAAGGUGCUAAUACCUGCGUAAUCCGAGUGAUGAG